ACGCUCGACACCUACGGGAGGAGCAGUAGGGAAUCUUCCACAAUGGGCGCAAGCCUGAUGGAGCAACACCGCGUGAGUGAAGAAGGGUUUCGGCUCGUAAAGCUCUGUUGUUGGAGAAGAACGUGCGUGAGAGUAACUGUUCACGCAGUGACGGUAUCCAACCAGAAAGUCACGGCUAACUACGUGCCAACAGCCGCGGUAAUCUGAGCGGGCUGGCAAGGC
rnacentral:rRNA from 1 species